AUAUCUCUUCGUACGGGAAGGAUGAGAAGCUUCGAUUAAGGUUCGAUUCGAGCGCAGCGAGAAAGCGUUGCCGCAGGCA
rnacentral:sRNA from 1 species